AGAAAAAAACAAACAGUAAACUAAAUUGCUCAAAGAAGAUUGUUUAUCUAGCAUAUGAAGAAUAAUAUUACAUCUCAUCCAGGGAGAAUCUCAAUAUGGAUGCCAGAUUUAACAGUAUGGGAUCUAAUUUUUCAUGGGAAGACUGGCCAUUUAAUUUGCCCAGUUCUUUUAUUCAUGUAAUAAAAUACAAAAAAGGCAAAUAUGUAUCCUCAUAAAAAUUUCUUUUUAGCCAGAAAAUAACUUAAUAUUUUAAAAUUAUAAAAUUAUAUCUGUUAGCUUAGUCUACAUAUAAAAAUACCAUUUUCUAUAGCUUCAUGAACAACUUCUUACAUGUAUUUGAUAGUUACAUUUCAGUAAAUUUAAAAAAUAACUGUAUCAUGUAAUGGGCUGUGUUUCUGUUUGGGAUGAUUCUCAAAGGAUGUCCAGUUGUGUUUAUCAGGCAAAUACAAGUUGCUAAGGAACAGAAGAACUAAAAUUGAGAGGUGAUCAAGUGGCUAUGAAAUUCCUUUCUUUCACUUAAAAUACAGGUGACUCUGAUAUUCUCUUUUCUGUUUCUUGCCCAGAGAUAUAAUUGAAAGAUCUGCAAAAGAAGUUAUGAGGCCCAUGAAUAGGCAAAGCAAAGAGGGAGCACUUUCUUUACCAUAGUUUAAACCCUGCUACAGAGCUAUAGUAAUACAAUUAGCAUUGCCUUGGAGAAAGGCCAGAGAGACGACUAGGACGGAAGGUGACCUCCGAGAUACAUUUACACAUAAAUGGUCAUACUGGGAUUCCAGGGGGAUUCAAUAUGAGGAGUAAUUAUUAAAAUAAAAAAGACUAUCUUUGUGACCUGAGGACUGAGAAAGAGAUAUUAAUAAAACGAAGAAAACAUAAAAGCAUAAGAUGAAAAUUUUAUCUCUUUGAUCAAAAUUAAAGAUUUCUAUGGAAGAAUUCCAAUGACAAAGUUAAAAGACAUAUGAUAGAUAAGGAAAAAACAUCUGAAAUGUCUCAAACUAAUGUCUCAGAAUUCCCAAAAUUAAUUCUGCCCAUAUAUUGGGAUCAGUUGGGGAAUUUUAAAACAAGUCUGUUUUCUAGAAUCUGCCUCUAGAGAUUCCCUUUCAGUGGUCUGGCAUGGAGCCUGACAUUGGUAUUAAAAAAAAAAAAAAAAAAAAAAAAAAAGAAUCCCCAGGUAAUUUUAAAACACAGUCAAGAUUUAGGUCCUCUGAUCUAGACAUAUAAGCAACUGCAUACCAACAAGAAAAGGGUGGAAUCCCAAU